GCUUACGAAAGCGUAUUAAGCUCUGGGAUAUCUCGGAAGGUUUCGGAAAUAUUUGGCUCGAAAACUUCCAUGAUAUCUUCGAUUUAAUUCACGCUAUAUUCUUUA